CUACUGAAGGUCAAACCCCUGAUGCAAUUAAUUCUUCUUCUUCCACUGCUGCUGUAUCAGUUGCAGCAGGUUCUACUACCUCUGGAGUAGUUGAUUCUGGUCACCCAUACUAUCUCCAUCCCUCAGAUUACCCAGGGAUGAACCUCGUUUCUUCAGACUUUGAUGGGAGAGGAUAUGGAGGUUGGAGAAGAGAUGUGGUCAUAACUCUUUCAGCUAAGAACAAACUAUGAUUCAUUGAUGGAUCCUUAGUUGUUCCUAGUGUUGAAUCUGGUCGACAAAGGGUCUGGGCUCGUUGUAAUGACAUGGUCCUUUCUUGGCUUCUCAACUCACUCUCUAAGGAAAUAGCAGAGAGUGUUUUGUACUCACAAAGUGCAAAGGAUCUUUGGAGUGACCUGGAAGACAGUUUUGGUCAGACAAAUGGAGCAAAAUUAUUUCAACUACAAAAGGAAUUAAGUGUUGUUGUGCAAGGAAAUUCCAGUUAUCAGGUUAUUUCUCAAAGAUGAAAAGCCUAUGGGAUGAACUAGAUGCACUAAACACUUUUUCUGCUUGUGUCUUUGAGUGUGAAUGUGGUGCUAAGACAAAGAAUUGUAAGGCUCAUCAAGAUGAAAGGUUGCUUUAGUUCUUAAUGGGUCUAAAUGACACCUUCAUAGGAGUAAGGAGAAAUAUCCUUCGGUCCUCUCCCCUUCCUUCGAUUGGACAAGCAUAUUCCUAGGUUAUCUAAGAUAAAAAACAUAGGAAAAUUCAUGCCGCACUUGCCUAUCCAGGAGAUGCUGCAUCUUUCAUUGCAGCUAGUCAUUCAGGAGAGGUAAAGAAAUACACUGAUUACAAGGGUCAGAAAGGAGGUUUUGAGGGAAAGAAGGUUUCCAGCAUAUGUAAUUACUGCAAGAAGCCAGGACACAACAUUGAAAACUGCUUUAGGAUUCAUGGUUUUCCUGCAGAUUUCAAGUUCUCGAAAUAGAAAAAAUUUCAAGGUACAACACAAGCAAGCAAUGUUUUCAUUUCAGGGCAAAGCAGUAAGCAAGGAACCAUGGAUGGUCCAGAUAUGCAUAUACUUACUAAGGAAAAUGUGGCUCAGCUAUUGCAGCUCCUUCAACAAGUCAACAUGGAAAAACAAAAUGCUUCUAUUCCUGAUGCAUGUGCAAGUGUGAAUGUGCUGGUAUACCUAAAUUCUUCAACUCAUAUGCUUGUUUUGUGCAAAUAGAUGAAAAAUCUUGGAUAAUGGAAAGUGGUGCAUCUGAGCACAUGACCUUCAACAAAGAAUUUCUUUGUGAUUUUAAACCUCUGCCUCAGCUUGUGAUGGUCACUCUGCCUAAUUCUCAUAGAGUAAAAGUAACACAUUCUGGUUCUGUUUCAAUUUUUCCUAACUUAGUAUUAUAGAAUGUGCUUUAUAUUCCUUCAUUUAAAUUUAAUCUAAUGUCUGUACAUAAGUUGUGCAAAUAUCUCAAACAAUAUGCACUUUUUACUCUUACAUCUUGUUGGCCCUUCAUUGAAGAGCUCUCUGGAGAUUGGCAAGGAGAAAGGAGGACUCUAUAUCAUCAAGCCAAAAGUUCCAGCACCUACUUCCAAGAGUUCUCUUAAGUCCAAUAGUUUUUCAGCUUCUAAAAUUAGGGCAGCAUGUGUUCCUAAGUUUAAUUCUUGUUUCAGUUUUUCCAAUUCAAAUGUAAAAGGCAGAUUAUGGCACUAUAGGUUAGGCCAUAUGCCAUUAAGCAGCAUGAGAAAUAUAUCAAGUAUUCAUGUUUCUUCUUGUUCAAAGUCUAUUGAUCCUUGCAUUGUCUGUCCAAUGGCAGCUCAAACAAUAUGUGCUUUUCACUCCUACUUCUCGUUUUCUACUGCAGGGCCCUUCACUGAAGAGCCCUCUGGAGAUUGGUAAGGAGAAAGGAGGACUCUACAUCAUCAAGCCAAAAGUUCCAGCACCUAGUUCCAAGAGUUUUCUUAAGUCAAAUAGUUUUUCAGUUUCCAAAUUAGGGCAGCAUGUGUUCCUAAGUUUAAUUGUUUUUGUUUUUCCAAUUCAAAUGUAAAAGGCAGAUUAUGGUACUAUUGGUUAGGCCAUAUUCCAUUAAGAAGUAUGAGAAAUAUAUCAAUUAUUCACGUUUUUCUUGUUCAAAGUCUACUGAUCCUUGCAUUAUCUGUCCAAUGGCAAGACAAUCAAAAUUACCUUAUCUCUCAAGUUCUAUUUCAACUAAAUCUAUGUUUGAAUUAAUUCAUGUGGAUACUUGGAGACCAUAUAAGAGCCCUACUUAUGAUGGUUUUAGAUACUUUCUUACUAUUGUAUAUGAUUUCAGUAGGGGAACCUGGGACCUAUUUACUUAGUGCUAAAUCAAAUGCCUUUCCUAUUUUGAAGUCUUUUCUAGCAAUGGUAGAAAGACAAUUUCACACAAAGGUUCAAAUCAUAAGAUCAGAUAAUGUUUUUGAGUUAGGAAGUGGAAAAACAUAUUCAGAGUUUCUUCUUUCCCAAGGUAUAAUUCAUCAAACCACUUGUGUAGCAACUCCACAACAAAAUGGAGUUGUGGUGAGGAAACACAAGCAUUAUUAGAAACAUCUAGGGCAUUACUUUUUCAGUCACAUUUACCAAUCACUUUCUAGGGAGAUUUUUUAUUGACAACAACUUAUCUAAUCGACAGAUAUCCUUCUAAAGUUAUCAACUACAAGACUCCCUAUGAGCUACUUUUCAAAAUCAAGCCAAAUUAUCACAACCUAAGGUGUUUUAGUUGCCUAUGUUUUACUUCCACUUUAUCAAAUCAUAGAACAAAGUUUGAACCAAGGGUAGUUUCUUGUGUGUUCCUACGUUAUCCACAUGGAAAGAAGGGUUAUAAGGUCUUGAAUCUAAAAACAAUAAAAUAUUUUGUCUCAAGGGAUGUAGUUUUUCAUGGAACGUUUUUUCCUUUUGCUUCUCUGAAAACAACUGAUGCAGGAAAUACUUUCUUUCCUUUUGGUAAUGAACAAUUUUCUAAGUCUGUCACCUCAUCUACUGAGUCUCCAAUACAUUCUACAUUACCUAUAAAUGUGCCCUCUUCUAUUGAUUCUGAUUCUGCUCCUUCAGAUUUUCCUAAAAAUUUAGAACAGUUUUCACCUUCACCUAUUCAUUCUACUGAUCAUAUCCUUAACUCUUCACACACUAUUUCUACAACUAGACUUCACAUGAGUACUGUUAAAUCACAAGUCCACAUUCUUGUUUGUUCACCUACUAAUCUUGAACCUAUGAUGGACCUUUUAAUUAGAAGGUCUUCUAGACCAUACAAUGCACCUUCUUAUUUGAAAGAUUACAUAUGUAAUGCUAUUCAACUUACUGAUGUUAGCACACAUUGUUUCCUCUCACCGUUUUACCAUCUUAUUUCCCUUUUCAUGGUCUUUCUACCACAAACCAAUAUUUUCUUAACUCGUUAUCUAAUAUUCAAGAACCUAGUAGCUAUCCACAGGCAACACUCCAUCCUGGUUGGCAGGAGGCUAUGGCAAAAGAAAUUGCAGCACUUGAGUUCAAUCAAACAUGGGAAGUUGUAGAACUACAUCCUGGAAGAAAGGCUUUGCCUUGUAAGUGGGUAUAAAAAGUGAAACAACACUCUGAUGGGAGUGUAUAAAGGUUGAAAGCAAGAUUGGUGAUUAGGGGUGACAUACAACAAGAAUGGGAUAGUUUCACAUAAACAUUUUCACCCGUGGUUAAAAUGACAACCAUCAUGCGUAUUCUUUCUAUAGCAGUCAAGAAAGGUUAGGGAAUUUAUUAAUUAGAUGUGAAAAAUGCCUUUUUACAUGGGAAUUUGAAUGAGGAAUUUUAUAUGAAGUUCCCAGCAAGUGAUAAACCCCCUUCACCUACACAUGUGUGUAGAGUAAAGAAAUCUAUUUAUGAGCUUCGUCAAGCAUCUAGACAAUGGUAUGCACGACUUACAAAAGCCCUGAAUUUCAAGGGAUUUUCUCACUCACAGAAUGAUUAUUCUCUGUUUUUCAAAAGGUCGAGAUAUUCUAUAUCUAUUGUGGCUGUCUACGUAGACGACAUUCUAUUAACAGGAAAUGAUAUCGAUAAAUUACAUGCUUUAAAGUCAUUUCUAUAUCACGAGUUCAAAAUUAAGGAUCUCGGAAACUUACAUUUUUUUCUUGGUAUGGAGAUUCUUCGUGAGGCAGCUGGUUUGUUUCUCUCUCAAAGAAAGUUCACUCUAGACUUGUUAGAAGAGUUUGAUGCUCUGUAUUACUCCCCUAUUUCUUCUCCUCUUGAUCCCACCGUCAAAUUGCUUGCCAAAAUAAGGGAGCUUCUUCCUUUUCCAACUCUAUAUCGAGAUCUUUUAGGUAAAUUAAACUACCUAACUCAUACCCGUUUAGAUCUUUCCUUUGCAGUCCAGCACUUGAGUCAAUACAUGCAAGAUUCAAGAAAGCCCCAUUUGAGUGCCGCUCGUCGAGUUCUCCGAUACUUGUUAAAAGACCCAGGUUUGGGGAUUUUUAUGAAAGCUUCUCCCUCGUUUCAACUCAUCACCUUUUGCGACUCAGAUUGGGGUACUUGUCUAGAAACUCGAAAUUCAGUGAGUGGUUUCUUUAUUUCACUUGGAGGAUCUCCAAUUUCAUGGAAGUCAAAAAAGCAGACCUCCAUAUCUCUCAGCUCAGCAAAAGCAUAAUAUCAUUAUAUGCGCCGUGUAGUGGCAGAAUUGAUUUGGUUAGUACGAUUUGUUGAAGAUCUGUCUAUACCCAUUUCUCUACCAGUACCCCUUCAUUCUGAUAGCAAAGCAGCGAUUCAUAUCGUGAAAAAUUUGGUCUUCCAUGAGCGAACUAAACACGUGGAAAUCGAUCAUCAUUUCGUGAGACGUCAAUUUCUAGUCGGCUUGAUUUCUCUUUCUUUCAUUCUUCUUCUCAGCUGACAGAUUUCUUCACUAAACUAUUAGCUAGCCCUUCUUAUCACAAUUUAUUGGGCAAGUUGGGGGUUCUUUCAUCCCCACCAACUUGAGGAGGGGUGUUGGAAAUGGUGGUGAUUUUCUCAAAGUUCCUACAAUGGCAGAUGGGGUAG
rnacentral:lncRNA from 1 species